UUACGGCCACAUCACGUUGAAAUACCGGUUCCCAUACGAUUACCGAUGUUAAGCAACGUCAAGCCUGGUCAGUGUCUAGAUGGGUGACCGCUUGGGACUACCAGGUGUUGUAAG